rnacentral:rRNA from 1 species
UACGGGGGGGCAAGCGUUGUUCGGAAUUACUGGGCGUAAAGGGCGCGUAGGCGGCUUAACAAGUCACUUGUGAAAUCUCCGGGCUUAACUCGGAACGGCCAAGUGAAACUGUCAAGCUAGAGUGCAGAAGGGGCAAUCGGAAUUCUUGGUGUAGCGGUGAAAUGCGUAGAUAUCAAGAGGAACACCUGAGGUGAAGACGGGUUGCUGGGCUGACACUGACGCUGAUGCGCGAAAGCCAGGGAGCGAACGGG